rnacentral:rRNA from 1 species
GUACCUUGUGUAUCAGGGUUUACUGAAUUUUAUUAUUUAUUUUUAUUUCCCGAUUCUAAAAGGAGCUAUUAACUUAUUUUAGUUGUUGUUUUAUUAACAUUAAUAAUAGGUUGGUAGUGGUGAAAUGUUAUUCGUCUUUAGGGGUUUCUGGUUUUUCAAGAAAUGAAUUUAAUUCAUGCGUCUUAUUUAGAGUUUUAUUAUUUGUUUAUUUAUUUUUAUUUGGUGUUAAGAUUGGGAGGGAUUAGCUUCUUAUUUUAUUUUUAUAAUUUUUUGUUUAUUUAGUCUUGUGGGUUUUAUAUUGAUUUUCAAUUUGAUUAUGUUAAAAUUUUAUUUGUUUUGUUCUUUAUUUUUGUUUAUUUAAUUAUUUAUUGAAAUGUAUUCUUUAUUUUGUUUUGGUUAGUAAUUAUUGUAGAAUUAGUAAAUUUGUUGUUAAGUUGUUUUAUUUGUGUUAAUUUUCUUUGAGGAACUAGGCAAAUUUCAUGCCCGCCUGUUUAACAAAAACAUCUUUUCUUGUUAGUUUUUGAAGUAUGGCCUGCCCGCUGACUUUGGUGUUGAAGGGCCGCGGUAUUUUGACCGUGCAAAGGUAGCAUAGUCAUUAGUUCUUUAAUUGUGAUCUGGUAUGAAUGGCUUGACGAGGCAUGGGCUGUCUUAAUUUUGAAUUGUUUAUUGAAUUUAGUCUUUGAGUUAAAAUUCUUAGAUGUUUUUAUGGGACGAGAAGACCCUAUAGAGUUUGACAUUUGUUACGGCCCCCUUCUGUUUGUGAGGGUUCACUGGGCCGUUUAAUAUGUUUUGUUGGGGUGAUGGGAGGGAUAUAAAUGAACCCCUCCUUUUGUUAUUAUAUUUAUUUAUAUUUACUUGAUCCAUUUAUUUUGAUUGUAAGAUUAAAUUACCUUAGGGAUAACAGCGUAA